UGAUUCUUUUUGGAGGUUAAAUACCACAUAACAAGCGACACAUAUCAACCUUUAGAACACACAAAACAUUAAAGAUAACCGAGAUAUAAGGCCUGACAUUUUCCAAAAUAAUAUUUUCUGGACACUUAGAAUAUUUUCUGGGUUUGAAGAACAGCCGGUCAAUGCCGGUCAACCCACUUUGACCGCUUAUAAAUCCCGAUCUACAAUAGCUAU
rnacentral:lncRNA from 1 species